AAAAAAUAAAUUUUCUUUGCUAGCAAAGAAAACUACGUCUGAUCGCUCCAACAGGUAAAUUAGACUGAACUGAUUAUCGAUCGAAAAAAUUUGCCGGAUUUGAAAUUAACCAAUCAGAUUACGUAAAUUACGGAAUUUCCACAAUUCAUGAAAAUUCUGCUAUAUAAACGCUGUGAAUUGCGGGGCUCGUACAGUCUUAUCGAUGACAUUCUAAAGGUGAAAUCAAGUUUACAUUAGCAGUAUCUUAAGGAUUUAAAGGUUUGGUAUGGCUAAUAAUUUGUUUAUUUUAAACAACUUUU
rnacentral:lncRNA from 1 species